GAAAUGAAGAGUCAAGGUGUUGAAGAGAGCAGAUUGCAACUUCUGCAAGAUGUUAGUGGUGCUUUUAGGCCUGGUAUUCUAACAGCAUUGGUAGGUGUGAGUGGUGCUGGAAAGACCACCCUAAUGGAUGUCUUAGCAGGAAGGAAGACUGGUGGACAUAUUGAAGGAAGCAUAAGCAUUUCUGGUUAUCCAAAGAACCAAAAAACAUUUG
rnacentral:misc_RNA from 1 species